GUUCCUGUAGCGCAAUGGAUAGCGCGGUGGACUUGCAAUCCAAAGGUCAUGGGUUCCAAUCCCACCUGGGAUA
rnacentral:tRNA from 1 species